CAGCAGCCGCGGUAAAACGAACCGUGCGAACGUUAUUCGGAAUUACUGGGCUUAAAGCGCGUGUAGGCGGAUCGCCACGUCGGUCGCUGAAAUCCCCCGGCUCAACCGGGGAACGGGCGCCGAUACGGGCGGUCUCGAGGGGGGUAGGGGGGACUGGAACUUCCGGUGGAGCGGUGAAAUGCGUUGAGAUCGGAAGGAACGCCCGUGGCGAAAGCGAGUCCCUGGACCCUUUCUGACGCUGAGACGCGAAAGCCAGGGGAGCGAACGGGAUUAGAUACCCGCGUAGUCCCUGUCUCUUAUU
rnacentral:rRNA from 1 species